UGGUCAAGUUAUUAAGGGUGCAGGGCGGAUGCCUUGGCACUAGGAGCCGAUGAAGGACGUGAUAAGCUGCGAUAAGCUUCGGGGAGUUGCACGUAAACUUUGAUCCGAAGAUUUCCGAAUGAGGAAACUCACUUAGAGUAAUGUCUAAGUAUCAUUAAGUGAAUACAUAGCUUAAUGAGGGGAACUCAGGGAACUGAAACAUCUAAGUACCUGAAGGAAGAGAAAGAAAUUCGAUUCCGUAAGUAGCGGCGAGCGAACGCGGAUUAGCCCAAACCAAUAAAGUUUUCUUUAUUGGGGUUGCGGACAUAUCAUAACGAAGAGGUAUCGUAAUUGAAGAGGUUUGGAAAGACCCACCACAGAAGGUAAUAGUCCUGUAUGUUAAACGAGAAGACUUUAGAUAUGAUCCAGAGUACCACGGGACACGUGAAACCCUGUGGGAAGCAGGAGGGACCACCCUCCAAGGCUAAAUACUACCUAGUGACCGAUAGCGUAUAGUACCGUGAGGGAAAGGUGAAAAGAACCCCGGGAGGGGAGUGAAAUAGAACCUGAAACCCUGCACUUACAAGC
rnacentral:rRNA from 1 species